rnacentral:pre_miRNA from 3 species
AGUAGAAUUGUUGGAUUAUAUGGUAACUCUAUGUUUAACUUUUUGAGGAACUACAAAACUGCUUUUCAAAGUAGCUGCACCAUUUUACAUGUCCACCAAGAGU